UACGGAGGGUGCAAGCGUUAUCCGGAAUCACUGGGUUUAAAGGGUGCGUAGGCGGCCAGACAAGUCAGGGGUGAAAUAUCAUCGCUUAACGAUGAAAUUGCCUUUGAUACUGUUUGGCUUGAAACAGGUUGAGGUUGGCGGAAUGUGGCAUGUAGCGGUGAAAUGCAUAGAUAUGCCAUAGAACACCGAUUGCGAAGGCAGCUGGCUGGACCUGGAUUGACGCUGAGGCACGAAAGCGUGGGGAGCAAACAGG
rnacentral:rRNA from 1 species